rnacentral:rRNA from 1 species
UACGUAGGGUGCGAGCGUUAAUCGGAUUUACUGGGCGUAAAGCGUGCGCAGGCGGCCCGUUAAGACAGGUGUGAAAUCCCUGGGCUCAACCUAGGAAUUGCGCUUGUGACUGGCGGGCUCGAGUACGGUAGAGGGGGGUGGAAUUCCUGGUGUAGCAGUGACAUGCGUAGAGAUCAGGAGGAACACCGAUGGCGAAGGCAGCCCCCUGGGCCUGUACUGACGCUCAUGCACGAAAGCGUGGGGAGCAAACAGG